UGCCUUGCUAGAUGAAGUGUGGUACAACCACCAAAAGUAGUGAGCGCCUUCUCGGACAGUCACUUCACUCCAUUUUUGUUUCGUUGAGCCAACGCCUUUUUCUUCAUCACUUUUUACUUCUUUUGCUUCAAGUAAAAAAAAAUGUUAAAUUUG